rnacentral:rRNA from 1 species
UACGUAGGGGGCAAGCGUUGUCCGGAGUUACUGGGCGUAAAGCGCACGCAGGCGGUCUCUUAAGUUUGGAGUGACAGUUGGUGGCUUAACUGCCAAAGUGCUUCGAAAACUGAGAGACUUGAGGGCUUCAGAGGGACACGGAAUUCCGGGUGGAGUGGUGAAAUGCGUAGAGAUCGGGAGGAACACCUGUGGCGAAGGCGGCUCGCUGGGCCGGUCCUGACGCUGAGACGCGAAGGCGUGGGGAGCGAACGGG